UAGGAUUUGAUUUAGUAUUUAGGAAUUGGAUUAGGAUUUAUUUAAGGUUUGAUUUAGGAUCUAGGAUUUGGAUUAGGAUUUGGUUAGAGUUUGAUUUAGGGUUUAGGAUUUGAUUUAGGAUUUGGUUAGGAUUUGGUUAGGAUUUGGUUUAGGAUUUCGUUGGAAUUUGGUUUAAGGUUUGUUUAGGGUUUGAUUCAGGAUUUAUGAUUUUAUUAGGAUUUAAGAUUCAAUUAGUUUUGGCCUAAAGUUUGAAUAAAGUUCAAUAGGAUUUUAAUUAGAAUUAAAUUAAGAUUGAAUUGAGAUAUAUUUGAGUGAUAUUUGUGAUCCUUCUAAUAUUUCUUUAAGAAUUCUUAUUGUUUGUUUGAAAUUUCUUUGAGGUCUUUUUGAAUUUGAUUAAGCAUGCUUAGCAUUAUUAUUGUUUAAUUAGAGCAUUAUUAGUAUUCUAUUAGAAUUAGAAUUUUGUUAUUAUAAUUUCCAUUCUUCUUUCCACAACCAGGUGCCCGGAGCAUUCUCAAGCAAGACUUCACGUAUUACGACACCGUAUUAACGAUGAAUUCAAUAUAGAACGGCACUCUAGUAUGAUCGCUAGAAGUUUCUUUAUAGAAAUAGAAGGCCAAAUAGCAUCCAGAUCCUUUAAAAUGUCAUAGGGUUCCAUAUUUAGGGUAAUGCCUAAUGUCCUCUUUUUUUUCAUUGGUUUGAGUUUAACUCUGUGAGGUAAGAUAUUCUUCCACUCUAGACUCGGAAUUGGAGCAGAAGACGGAGCUUCUUUGGAAUUUGUACCUCUCUGAGGAUCUUUCGACGAAAAAGACGUUUCCUAAAAUUAUGUAGAGAAUGGAACAGCUUGAAAUGGAACCGAAGACUGUGUAAUCGAGACCUCAUUGGGUUGCUCAACCGAUUCAGCUCUCAUAUAGAGUAAGACGCCCAUAACAGGACCUAGAUUGGAUGUCCCCAUAAUUGGGU
rnacentral:lncRNA from 1 species